rnacentral:lncRNA from 1 species
AUACGCAAUAACGACACAGAUGUCAUCACAAGAAGCUACGUCAACAUCACCUUUGGAUGCCGGUACCCAGUAAACUACAUAGUGAAGCAGCCCAAUGGAGAAAACAUGAUCAAAGUAGACAUCAGGACCAUCAUCUUGAACACCGAGGACGGAAACUUCUCGGUGGCGUUGGUGCUCUACAAAGACAAGAACUUUGAAGACAAGUGGACCACCGUUCCAUUUCUGACGUUGGAGGACAGCAUAUACGUGAAGGUCUUCAUGACACCGGCUCACCUCAUACUGCGGCUGGAGAAAUGCUGGGCCACCCCUACGAACAAUCCAUCCAGCGACGUCGAGUACAUUUUCAUCGAAGACAGGUCUGUGAGUCGGCAUGCAGCGCACACCAGGGUG